rnacentral:lncRNA from 1 species
UCUCUUCUAAUAAUCUUAGCCGACCUGGUUUACUUGUUUUGAUACGAUUGUUCCAUGGAAUCCCAGGGUCUGAUGAAGCAAGGUGCAGGACACCUCAGGUACCCUGAUCCGACCUCACCACACUCCUUGAGCCGGCCCCUCACGAUUCUUACAAUGUUAUUCCUUCUCUUUCUCUAGAACCGCCUAUGUUUGUGACAGUGCACUGGGGCUCAAGCGACAAUGAGCAGGUUGGUGCUUUGAGUGUUUUGCCUUAUGAUGUUCCGCUUGUUCUUGUUUCUUAAUUUUUAGUCAGCUUACUUUGGUAAGCUCCUUUUAUGGCAGGUGGGAGGAUCGUUCAGCUGACCAAGUGCAGUAUGACGGUGAUCUCUGAACAGUUGCAAGGAGGGUAAUAACAUGUUAGCUCCUCUUAAUAUCUUGGUUGAUGCCAUCUGUUAGAUUUAGCCCACCGAGUCCCUAUUUUGCAUUUACUUUGCUUCUCUAAAGUUCUCUUCGUGCUGCAAGGAAGACACGAGGGUUAGUUGCAUUCCUGCUGCCUUGCUUGAGAUGAAUCCAUUUGGUUCUUUUGCCUUUCAAUUCUGUAACACACCAUCGUAUCUAUUGGUAGGUGUCAUUCUGCUUCUCCUUGCAUGUCUAUUUGUGCGCUUGGGUUGCAGAUCAAGUUACUGACACAUGGGAUCGUACAGUUAUUCUAUUACUCAGGGCCCACCCUGGUGGUCAUUAUAUCUCUGGGGUAAGCAAGCUGAGCAGGUUAUGCAAGCUACUGUGUAAAAUGUGCAUGCAUCGCUGCCUAAAAAAGGGUC